AUGAACGCUAGCGGCAGGCUUAANACAUGCAAGUCGUGGGGCAGCAUAAGGGUAGCAAUACUCUGGUGGCGACCGGCAAACGGGUGCGGAACACGUACGCAACCUUCCUCAAAGCGGGGGAUAGCCUCUCGAAAGAGAGAUUAAUACCCCAUAGUAUCUUGAAACUGCAUGGUUUUAAGAUUAAAGCUCCGGCACUUUGAGAUGGGCGUGCGGCUGAUUAGGUAGUUGGUAGGGUAACGGCCUACCAAGCCAACGAUCAGUAGCUGAUGUGAGAGCAUGAUCAGCCACACGGGCACUGAGACACGGGCCCGACUCCUACGGGAGGCAGCAGUAAGGAAUAUUGGACAAUGGACGCAAGUCUGAUCCAGCCAUUCCGCGUGCAGGAUGAAGGCCCUCGGGUUGUAAACUGCUUUUGUACGGAACGAAAAGGUUUCUAUUAAUACUAGGAGCUCAUGACGGUACCGUAAGAAUAAGCACCGGCUAACUACGUG
rnacentral:rRNA from 1 species